AGAACGAACGCUGGCGGCAGGCUUAACACAUGCAAGUCGAACGGUUGUAGCAAUACAGCAGUGGCAGACGGGUGAGUAACACGUGGGAACCUUCCUAGGGGUACUGAACAACUCAGGGAAACUUGAGCUAAUACCGUAUACGUCCGUGAGGAGAAAGUUUUAACGCCCCUAGACGGGCCCGCGUAGGAUUAGGUAGUUGGUGAGGUAACGGCUCACCAAGCCUACGAUCCUUAGCUGAUCUGAGAGGAUGAUCAGCCACACUGGGACUGAGACACGGCCCAGACUCCUACGGGAGGCAGCAGUGGGGAAUCUUGGACAAUGGGCGCAAGCCUGAUCCAGCCAUGCCGCGUGAGUGAAGAAGGCCUUCGGGUUGUAAAGCUCUUUUACCAGGGACGAUAAUGACGGUACCUGGAGAAUAAGCCCCGGCAAACUUCGUGCCAGCAGCCGC
rnacentral:rRNA from 1 species